GAUCAUAGCUCAGUGGUAGAACACAUGCUUUGCAUGCAGAAGGCCCCGGGUUCAAUCUCUGGCCUCUCCA